rnacentral:rRNA from 1 species
CUAGUAACGGCCGCCAGUGUGCUGGAAUUCGCCCUUCGGUGUGUACAAGGCCCGGGAACGUAUUCACCGCGCCAUGGCUGAUGCGCGAUUACUAGCGAAUCCAGCUUCACGGAGUCGGGUUGCAGACUCCGAUCCGAACUGAGACGUGGUUUGGGGAUUCGCUCCCUGUCGCCAGGUGGCUUCCCUUUGUCCACGCCAUUGUAACACGUGUGUCGCCCCGGAUGUAAGGGCCGUGCUGAUUUGACGUCAUCCCCGCCUUCCUCGCAGCUUACGCUGGCAGUCCCACCAGAGUCCUCAGCAUCACCUGUUAGUAACUAGUGGCAAGGGUUGCGCUCGUUAUGGCACUUAAGCCGACACCUCACGGCACGAGCUGACGACAACCAUGCAGCACCUCGCAAACGGCUAUUGCUAGAAAAGGUGUUUCCACCUCGGUCCGAAUGCGUUCAAACCCGGGUAAGGUUCCUCGCGUAUCAUCGAAUUAAACCACAUGUUCCUCCGCUUGUGCGGGCCCCCGUCAAUUCCUUUGAGUUUCACCGUUGCCGGCGUACUCCCCAGGUGGAUCACUUAACGCUUUCGCUGUGCCGCUUACACUGUAUCGCAAACAGCUAGUGAUCAUCGUUUACUGCGUGGACUACCAGGGUAUCUAAUCCUGUUUGAUCCCCACGCUUUCGUGCAUCAGCGUCAGUCAUGGCUUGGCAGGCUGCCUUCGCAAUCGGGGUUCUGCGUGAUAUCUAAGCAUUUCACCGCUACACCACGCAUUCCGCCUGCCUCAAACAUACUCAAGCCCCCCAGUUUCAACGGCAAUUCUAUGGUUGAGCCACAGACUUUCACCGCUGACUUAAAAGGCCGCCUACGCACCCUUUAAACCCAAUAAAUCCGGAUAACGCUCGAAUCCUCCGUAUUACCGCGGCUGCUGGCACGGAGUUAGCCGAUCCUUAUUCAUAAGGUACAUACAAAACGGGACACGUCCCGCACCUUAUUCCCUUAUAAAAGAGGUUUACGAUCCAUAGAACCUUCAUCCCUCACGCGACUUGGCUGGUUCAGGCUUACGCCCAUUGACCAAUAUUCCUCACUGCUGCCUCCCGUAGGAGUUUGGUCCGUGUCUCAGUACCAAUGUGGGGGGACCUUCC